GCUUAUCACCAUUCCAGAUUGAAUAUAUCCGAUCUCGUCUGAUCUCGGAAGUCAAGCAAUCUCGGGCUUGGUUAGUACUUGGAUGGGUGACC
rnacentral:rRNA from 1 species